rnacentral:lncRNA from 1 species
UUCUUGUUAUUAAUAAAAAAAAUUGUAUAUCUAACACUACCAAAAAUAUCCUAAUCGGACCCCAUAGGCAAUUGGCACAUUGUUUUCAUUUUGCAUAACAAAAGCAGAAUAGUCGCCUAAUUGGUGACCAAAAAUCCUUUGAGAAAUCGAAGGAAAAGUAUGUUGUCUAACUGUUGUGAGCGAAAACUUUUGUUUUCAUUCCA